rnacentral:tRNA from 1 species
GGCCCUUUGGCCCAAUGGUAAGGCGUCUGACUACGACCGAGCAUGUCUAUAAACAUACUUGAAAAGUUAUCAGGAGAUUCUCGGUUCGAGCCCGAGGAGGGUCA